GAUGAACGCUAGCUACAGGCUUAACACAUGCAAGUCGAGGGGAAACGAUAUUGGAAGCUUGCUUCCGAUAGGCGUCGACCGGCGCACGGGUGAGUAACGCGUAUCCAACCUGCCCAUCACUUGGGGAUAACCUUGCGAAAGUAAGACUAAUACCCAAUGACGUCUCUAGAAGACAUCUGAAAGAGAUUAAAGAUUUAUCGGUGAUGGAUGGGGAUGCGUCUGAUUAGCUUGUUGGCGGGGUAACGGCCCACCAAGGCGACGAUCAGUAGGGGUUCUGAGAGGAAGGUCCCCCACAUUGGAACUGAGACACGGUCCAAACUCCUACGGGAGGCAGCAGUGAGGAAUAUUGGUCAAUGGGCGAGAGCCUGAACCAGCCAAGUAGCGUGAAGGAUGACUGCCCUAUGGGUUGUAAACUUCUUUUAUAAAGGAAUAAAGUCGGGUAUGGAUACCCGUUUGCAUGUACUUUAUGAAUAAGGAUCGGCUAACUCCGUG
rnacentral:rRNA from 1 species